rnacentral:rRNA from 1 species
GUGGGGAAUCUUGCGCAAUGGGCGAAAGCCUGACGCAGCCAUGCCGCGUGAAUGAUGAAGGUCUUAGGAUUGUAAAAUUCUUUCACCGGGGACGAUAAUGACGGUACCCGGAGAAGAAGCUCCGGCUAACUUCGUGCCAGCAGCCGCGGUAAUACGAAGGGGGCUAGCGUUGCUCGGAAUUACUGGGCGUAAAGGGCGCGUAGGCGGACAGCUUAGUCAGAGGUGAAAGCCCAGGGCUCAACCUUGGAAUUGCCUUUGAUACUGGCUGUCUCGAGUUUGGGAGAGGUGAGUGGAACUCCGAGUGUAGAGGUGAAAUUCGUAGAUAUUCGGAAGAACACCAGUGGCGAAGGCGACUCACUGGCCCAAUACUGACGCUGAGGCGCGAAAGCGUGGGGAGCAAACAGGAUUAGAUACCCCGGUAGUCC